GUGGGAGUCCCACCCCUUCUGAAUUGGGACGAGAGCUUCCCUGUUGCCGCUGCAGCCGCCCAAACCAGGGCUGCAGACCCGGGCCUCUUGCUCUGUGCAGCAGGCAGGAGCACCGCCCUCCUGGGUGAGGCUACAGCCACCCAAAUUGCAUCUGUGGAUGGGAGCCUCCCUGUGCUCUUGGAAGCGCCAGGAUCAGGUCCAUAAAAGCCCUGGCUUCAGCCAGAGCAGGAGAGAGGACUGAGAGGAUGGAGAGACAACGGGACCACCAGCUGCAGAGAGGAGCUACCCUCUCUGCUGAGAGCUUCCGAGACCUGCAGAGAUGUCUGAACCACCUGCAGAGAGGAGCUACCCUCUUCAGGGCCACCUCUCUGCUGAGAGUUGAACACUCCACAGGAGGACUGCCUGCCAACAGAGGGGAUCUACCCAUUGUGGUCUCCUCUGGGCUGUUCUAACACUAAAUAAAUCUCCUCUUUGUGUUCUUCACCGUUCG
rnacentral:lncRNA from 1 species